AAGGGGACCAGCAAGAGAGGGCUGAAGGAAUGCCUUAAAUGAAUCUCACUCAUGUGACUGGAUACAUUUGGGUCAAGGGCCAUGACAAAUCCAGAGGAUGAUGUAAUGACCGAACUAAACAUCCAUCAAUUGCCUGACCCACAAGCAAGUCAGCCAGUGAAAGCAGAAUACAGAGGACCACCUCCCCAGAGAGGAAAUGCCACCCACCUACAUGGCAGAGGAGAAGAAAGAAGAACAUUGCUUUCUGCUUCUUCCAGGCCAGAGCAAAGACAAUCCACAUUAAGAACUACUUGAUAAUAUUUGUCAACAUAAAUGUAAAUGCCAGUAAGUUCCCCCAAAUAAAAA